rnacentral:rRNA from 1 species
CGAUGAUGCCCAGCUUGCUGGGUGGAUUAGUGGCGAACGGGUGAGUAACACGUGAGUAACCUGCCCCUGACUCUGGGAUAAGCGUUGGAAACGACGUCUAAUACUGGAUAUGACUGCCGGCCGCAUGGUCUGGUGGUGGAAAGAUUUUUUGGUUGGGGAUGGACUCGCGGCCUAUCAGCUUGUUGGUGAGGUAAUGGCUCACCAAGGCGACGACGGGUAGCCGGCCUGAGAGGGUGACCGGCCACACUGGGACUGAGACACGGCCCAGACUCCUACGGGAGGCAGCAGUGGGGAAUAUUGCACAAUGGGCGAAAGCCUGAUGCAGCAACGCCGCGUGAGGGAUGACGGCCUUCGGGUUGUAAACCUCUUUUAGUAGGGAAGAAGCGAAAGUGACGGUACCUGCAGAAAAAGCACCGGCUAACUACGUGCCAGCAGCCGCGGUAAUACGUAGGGUGCAAGCGUUGUCCGGAAUUAUUGGGCGUAAAGAGCUCGUAGGCGGUUUGUCGCGUCUGCUGUGAAAUCCCGAGGCUCAACCUCGGGCUUGCAGUGGGUACGGGCAGACUAGAGUGCGGUAGGGGAGAUUGGAAUUCCUGGUGUAGCGGUGGAAUGCGCAGAUAUCAGGAGGAACACCGAUGGCGAAGGCAGAUCUCUGGGCCGUAACUGACGCUGAGGAGCGAAAGCAUGGGGAGCGAACAGGAUUAGAUACCCUGGUAGUCCAUGCCGUAAACGUUGGGCGCUAGAUGUAGGGACCUUUCCACGGUUUCUGUGUCGUAGCUAACGCAUUAAGCGCCCCGCCUGGGGAGUACGGCCGCAAGGCUAAAACUCAAAGGAAUUGACGGGGGCCCGCACAAGCGGCGGAGCAUGCGGAUUAAUUCGAUGCAACGCGAAGAACCUUACCAAGGCUUGACAUACACCGGAAACGGCCAGAGAUGGUCGCCCCCUUGUGGUCGGUGUACAGGUGGUGCAUGGUUGUCGUCAGCUCGUGUCGUGAGAUGUUGGGUUAAGUCCCGCAACGAGCGCAACCCUCGUUCUAUGUUGCCAGCGCGUUAUGGCGGGGACUCAUAGGAAACUGCCGGGGUCAACUCGGAGGAAGGUGGGGAUGACGUCAAAUCAUCAUGCCCCUUAUGUCUUGGGCUUCACGCAUGCUACAAUGGCCGGUACAAAGGGCUGCGAUACCGUAAGGUGGAGCGAAUCCCAAAAAGCCGG